CACGUAGGGUGCGAGCGUUGUCCGGAAUUAUUGGGCGUAAAGAGCUCGUAGGCGGUUCGUCGCGUCGGCUGUGAAAACCUGAGGCUCAACCUCAGGCCUGCAGUCGAUACGGGCGGACUUGAGUACUGCAGGGGAGACUGGAAUUCCUGGUGUAGCGGUGAAAUGCGCAGAUAUCAGGAGGAACACCGGUGGCGAAGGCGGGUCUCUGGGCAGUAACUGACGCUGAGGAGCGAAAGCGUGGGGAGCAAACAGG
rnacentral:rRNA from 1 species